rnacentral:rRNA from 1 species
UGGGGAAUUUUGCACAAUGGGGGAAACCCUGAUGCAGCAACGCCGCGUGAGUGAUGAAGGCCCUAGGGUUGUAAAGCUCUUUCAGCAGGGAAGAUGAUGACGGUACCUGCAGAAGAAGCCCCGGCUAACUCCGUGCCAGCAGCCGCGGUAAUACGGAGGGGGCUAGCGUUGUUCGGAUUUACUGGGCGUAAAGCGCGCGUAGGCGGCUUGGAUAGUUGGGAGUGAAAGCCCGGGGCUCAACCCCGGAACUGCUCUCAAAACUUCCAAGCUAGAGAUCUGGAGAGGAGGGUGGAAUUCCAAGUGUAGAGGUGAAAUUCGUAGAUAUUUGGAAGAACACCAGUGGCGAAGGCGACUCUCUGGCCAGAUACUGACGCUGAGGUGCGAAAGCGUGGGGAGCAAACAGGAUUAGAUACCCCCGUAGUCC